rnacentral:rRNA from 1 species
GUGAAGCGGCAACAGCUCAAAUUUGAAAUCUGGCCCUUGGGUCCGAAUUGUAAUUUGUAGAGGAUGAUUUUGGUGCGGUAUCUUCCGAGUUCCUUGGAACAGGACGCCUUAGAGGGUGAGAGCCCCGUACGGUUGAAUGCCUAGCCUCUGUAAAUCUCCUUCGACGAGUCGAGUAGUUUGGGAAUGCUGCUCUAAAUGGGAGGUAAAUUUCUUCUAAAGCUAAAUAUUGGCCAGAGACCGAUAGCGCACAAGUAGAGUGAUCGAAAGAUGAAAAGCACUUUGAAAAGAGGGUUAAAUAGCACGUGAAAUUGUUGAAAGGGAAGGAUUUGUGACCAGACUUUUUCUGGGCGGAUCAUCCGGGGUUCUCUCCGGUGCACUUCGCCCAGUAAAGGCCAGCAUCGGUUUUCGGCGUGGGAUAAAAGCAGUAGGAAUGUGGCUCUCUACGGGGAGUGUUAUAGCCUAUUGUAUAAUACCGCGCUGGGGACCGAGGUUCGCGCUUCUGCAAGGAUGCUGGCGUAAUGGUUAUCAAUCACCCGUCUUGAAACACGGACCAAGGAGUCGAACAUUUGUGCGAGUGUUUGGGUGUUAAACCCUCACGCGUAAUGAAAGUGAACGGAGGUGAGAGCCCUUACGGGUGCAUCAUCGACCGAUCCUGAAGUUUUCGGAUGGAUUUGAGUAAGAGCAUAACUGUUCGGACCCGAAAGAUGGUGAACUAUGCGUGGAUAGGGUGAAGCCAGAGGAAACUCUGGUGGAGGCUCGCAGCGGUUCUGACGUGCAAAUCGAUCGUCAAAUCUGCGCAUGGGGGCG